rnacentral:rRNA from 1 species
GACGGAAGGUGCAAGCGUUGCUCGGAAUCACUGGGCGUAAAGGGUGCGUAGGCGGCUUGGUAAGUUGGGUGUGAAAGCCCCGGGCUCAGCCCGGGAAGGGCACUCGAAACUGCCGAGCUGGAGUGCCGGAGGGGAGAGUGGAAUUCCUGGUGUAGCGGUGAAAUGCGUAGAUAUCAGGAGGAAUACCGGUGGCGAAAGCGACUCUCUGGACGGUAACUGACGCUGAGACGCGAAAGCGUGGGGAGCGAACAGG